CCAGUGUCUGCUGCGAUCGAGUCCCACCUUCCAAGUCCUGGCAUCUCAAUGCAUCUGGGAAGCUACCUGCAUUAAGUCAGGACUGAGCACACAGGUGAACUCCAGAAAGAAGAAGCUAUGGCCGCAGUGAUUCUGGAGAGCAUCUUUCUGAAGCGAUCCCAACAGAAAAAGAAAACAUCACCUCUAAACUUCAAGAAGCGCCUGUUUCUCUUGACCGUGCACAAACUCUCCUACUAUGAGUAUGACUUUGAACGUGGGAGAAGAGGCAGUAAGAAGGGUUCAAUAGAUGUUGAGAAGAUCACUUGUGUUGAAACAGUGGUUCCUGAAAAAAAUCCUCCUCCAGAAAGACAGAUUCCGGUAAGAAGAGACCAAUGUCUGAGAUGGGGAACAGCAGAUUUGAAGAAAUUUGCAACAUUUAAAUUCUCUGUAAAUAGACUGACUGGUGAUGCUGUGCAACGUGGAACACGGUCAAGUUUCCUUUAAAAAUUCUUCACUCUACCAUAUUGGUUAUAAAGAAUCUUAGCUUCUUUCCUUCAUAUUCAGAACAUCUCACUAAACAUGGAAAAUUCGUUAACACAAACUUUUAAAUGA
rnacentral:sRNA from 1 species